GGAUUCCCUAGUAACUGCGAGUGAAGCGGGAAGAGCUCAAAUUUAAAAUCUGGCGUCCUCUGGUCGUCCGAGUUGUAGUCUGGAGAAGUGCUUUCCGUGUUGGACCGUGUAUAAGUCCCUUGGAACAGGGCGUCGUAGAGGGUGAGAAUCCCGUCUUUGCACACGGACUACCAAUGCUUUGUGAUGCGCUCUCAAAGAGUCGAGUUGUUUGGGAAUGCAGCUCAAAAUGGGUGGUAAAUUCCAUCUAAAGCUAA
rnacentral:rRNA from 1 species